UUGCUUCGACAGCACAUGUAUUCAAUCUGAAAUGAUACAGAGAAGAUUAACAUGACCCCUGCACAAAUAUGACAUGUAUUUUUUUUAAAUAAGGAAAAAUUGG